GUAAAUACAAUUUGAACCCAAAUAACCGCAUAAUACGGUGGAGAUAUUCUCGAAUUACAAAUUAGUAUUACGUUUGUAUGGGCAAUUCAUCCUUCGCUGGGCUCUUAACUACACAUUCUACUGUACUUAUUAUCUGUAUUUUUACAUAUAUUGACAGUUCACAGUAAUACAUAAUUACUGUUCGUACAUAUUAAAUAAACAUUUAAUGAUAUUAAUGCAAAUUAAUUAGGCAGACAGUACAUUAGCUAAAACUAAAGCAGCUGAUAAUAGUUGUCAAUUACUAAACCAUACACAAAAUAAGCAAAUAUUGGCGCCGAUUCUCUAAACUUUGAGUAAAUUUAGAGUAUCUGCACCUUUUUCAUUUUGUUAUUGCUAAAAAAGGAUGUAACAUGAAUUUUACGUUUAAAUACUCAAAUAGAGCAUGCUACAAAUUUAAACAAGAAGCUCGCGAGUGGCAGCUA